UACGUAGGGGGCAAGCGUUGUCCGGAUUUAUUGGGCGUAAAGAGCGUGUAGGCGGUCAGGUAGGUCCGUUGUGAAAACUCGAGGCUCAACCUCGAGACGCCGAUGGAAACCAUCUGACUAGAGUCCGGAAGAGGAGAGUGGAAUUCCUGGUGUAGCGGUGAAAUGCGCAGAUAUCAGGAAGAACACCCGUGGCUAAGGCGGCUCUCUAGUACGGUACUGACGCUGAGACGCGAAAGCGUGGGGAGCGAAC
rnacentral:rRNA from 1 species